UGGAAAAUGGAUGCCAUGAUAAACAUGGCAAGUUCCACUUUGUACUGAUACAUGGUGCAGGUCAUGGAGCUUGGUGUUGGUACAAAAUCGUUCAUCUUCUUCAAAUCUCAGGGCUUAAGGUGACUGUCUUGGAUCUUAGAGGGGCAGGCAUCGACCCUGUCAAUCCUGAUUCUGUCACAUCUUUUGAAGAUUAUGAUGGACCUCUUAUGAAUUUUCUAUCACAGAUAUCAAACUCUGAAAAGGUUUGUGAGUGAGUGAACAACUAUUUGUGAUCUUGUUUGCUAGAGGUGGUCAAAUGAGCUGUAUUGAUGAUAUGGGUGUUGUUUUAAUUUUAUGAAUUUAGUCAGGUUGUGCUAGUUGGUCACACUGCAGGAGGGCUAAGCUUGAGCCAUGCAAUCCAUGUGUUUGGUUAUAAGAUUGCAGUUGCAGUUUAUAUUGCUGCCACAAUACUGACAAGUGGGUUUUGUUCAGAGCAAGAUGUUUCAGCUGGGAGUUCCAGACUUGCUAAAAGUGAGUGAAUUCCUCUACGGGCUUGGUCCAGAGCAUCUCCCCAAAAACGUAUAAAAUCAGAACAGAAUUCCAAAGAGAAAUCCUCUAUCAGCUCAGCCCUCCUGAGGUAUAAAUCAAGAUGCAGCUCUGGCUUCAAUCCUCAUAAGACCAGCAUCAUUAUUGGCAUUCCAGACAGCCAAAUUUUAUGAAGAUUCAGAAGAGUUCACGAAGGUUCCAAGAGUUUUUAUGAAAACAUUGCAGGACAGAGUAAUUUUUUUCUAAAAACAGGAGGCCAUGAUCAGACAGUCCUUUCUUCUCUUCAACUCUGGAACUCUAUACAGACCCGCUUCAAAUUGCCCACCUUUUCCCAUGAUUGAUUAUUGUAGUUCUAUUGAAGCGAAAAUUCUAAUGUAUGUUUGUUCACAUAUUGUAUGCAA